rnacentral:sRNA from 1 species
CAGAUUAAGAUUAAUUAAGGUUUUAAGAUUCAUAAACACAAAGAAAAACUGAAAGAUAAAGCAUAGAUCCUUUGGACAAACCCCAAAGUGAUCUAUUUAUAGUAAAAUGUUGAAACCCUAGAUUCACUAAAAGACAAGAGACUUGAGACGGUUUGGGCAAAUACUCGAUCAUGGGGAUUGAGUAAAGAGGGUGCUGCAAAGUCUUCGCAUUGGUGUAUAUGCUCCGAGUGAUCAAUUGGUCGAGUAGAUGCUUCAUCCUCUCAUAUCUGUAUGCUUAGAUGUCUGGUUGAGUGGGGAAUGUGGAAGAUCCGAAGACGCUUUGAUAGCUCAACAAGUCUUGUAGAGAUGGUCACCCUUGGUCGAGUAAAUGGGUCGAGUAGGAGGGGCGAGUAGAUCAAUCUUCUGCUUCAUCUGAGGUUGCCUUGAUCGAGUAAGAGGGUCGAGUAAACUGCAGCCUCCUCUGUAGCAUCCUAGAUCGAGUAAAGAGGUCGAGUGAAUUGAUGCCUCUUCUAUAGCUGCCUGUAUUGAGUGAAUGGAUCGAGUAGAGUCCUUUUUAGCUCCUUCUGCACCCGAAAACACACCAAAAU